GACGGAGGAUGCAAGCGUUAUCCGGAAUUAUUGGGCGUAAAGCGUCCGCAGGGGGACAUACAAGUCUGCUGUCAAAGUGCAGAGCUUAACUCUGUAAAGGCGGUGGAAACUGUAGGUCUUGAGUAUGGUAGGGGUAGAGGGAAUUCCCGGUGUAGCGGUGAAAUGCGUAGAGAUCGGGAGGAACACCUGUGGCGAAGGCGGCCCCCUGGGCCGGCCCUGACACUGAGACGCGAAGGCGUGGGGAGCGAACAGG
rnacentral:rRNA from 1 species